AUGAACAAAGAAAAAGACACCACCCAACAUUUUCCAUGUUGUCCCAUAUCCACCACUGUGCUGUAAAAACCUCAAAUUUAAAACCCAUCACCCACUCUGUAGCUGGGGCUC